UUUUGUAAUAGUUUAUAAAAAACGUUGAUUUGUGGUGUCAGAAAAGAUAAUUUCUUACAUAAA
rnacentral:tRNA from 1 species